GAAUCUCUGGAAAGCAAGCCGAAUGUUCGGCUUCACCGAAGGGGUAAGCAUGAAACGUCACGUUUACGUUUCAUGUCAAAUCUCUCAGGUCCUAAGACAGAGGGGG
rnacentral:ncRNA from 1 species